UACGUAGGGUCCAAGCGUUAUCCGGAAUCACUGGGCGUAAAGCGUGCGUAGGUGGGUAAUUAAGUGCGAUGCGAAAUCCUGUGGCUCAACCAUACGGACUGUACCGCAUACUGAUUACCUAGAGGAUAUGAGGGGCAAGUGGAAUUACCGGUGUAGCAGUGAAAUGCGUAGAUAUCGGAAGGAACACCAGUGGCGAAGGCGACUCCUGGCUCAUUACUGACACUGAGGCGCGAAAGCGUGGGGAGCGAACAGG
rnacentral:rRNA from 1 species